UACGAAGGGGGCGAGCGUUGUUCGGAAUUACUGGGCGUAAAGGGCGCGUAGGCGGCGAUCCGAGUCAGAUGUGAAAGUCCUGGGCUUAACCUGGGGACUGCAUUUGAUACUGGAUUGCUUGAAUUCGGGAGAGGAUAGCGGAAUUCCCAGUGUAGAGGUGAAAUUCGUAGAUAUUGGGAAGAACACCGGUGGCGAAGGCGGCUAUCUGGACCGACAUUGACGCUGAGGCGCGAAAGCGUGGGGAGCAGACAGG
rnacentral:rRNA from 1 species